UGGGGAAUAUUGCACAAUGGGCGCAAGCCUGAUGCAGCAACGCCGCGUGAACGAUGAAGGUCUUCGGAUCGUAAAGUUCUGUUGCAGGGGAAGAUAAUGACGGUACCCUGUGAGGAAGCCCCGGCUAAGUACGUGCCAGCAGCCGCGGUAAUACGUAGGGGGCUAGCGUUAUCCGGAUUUACUGGGCGUAAAGGGUGCGUAGGUGGUCUUUCAAGUCGGUGGUUAAAGGCUACGGCUCAACCGUAGUUAGCCUCCGAAACUGGAAGACUUGAGUGCAGGAGAGGAAAGUGGAAUUCCUAGUGUAGCGGUGAAAUGCGUAGAGAUUAGGAGGAACACCGGUGGCGAAAGCGGCUUUUUGGCCUGCAACUGACACUGAGGCGCGAAAGCGUGGGGAGCAAACAGG
rnacentral:rRNA from 1 species